AUAUUGCAUGUGCUACUUUACCAAUAUGUGAAAUGUUAACGCCUCUGAACCUAUUUUACUCUGGCAAGGAUACGAGAAUUGUGUCCAAAACUCCCCAACUUUUAUAAAUGUUUGGGAAUGAUGUCUUCUGAACCAAAUACUUCCCAACUUUUUAAUCGAAAUAUGGAUUUGCUUUUUUUGGUGAACGACUGACCAAAUUUAAUUUGAAAAUUGAGCCUAUUUGAGAGAGUUAAUUCGUGAAGAAUAUCCUACUUUUGUUACCUAGAGGUGUUUAUAAAGAAUCUGAUCUAUUUAUAAAGUAGUUCAUUCUUUGAAGUCAACCACAAAAUUUAAAGUGGGUUAUAGAUGCUAUUGCUUGAUUCUUCAAUUCUAGCAAAGGGGUUCAUCAUUCUCUUAUCAACAUUUAUUUUAAGCUCAAGUUCAUGACAUUAUUGUCAGGGGAAAAGUCACUGGCAGCAAUCACCUUGUAAUCAUCGCAGGAAAAAUAUCGUAGUCAUUUUGAGCUCGGAUUCAGCGAACCUGUGGUAAACCUUCUUUUCCGAUUACUUUCAUUUAUUUAUUUGUGAAUCAACAACUUUUUAGGAAUAAUGAAUGUCACAAUUGCUGAUAAAUCGAUUCUUUGUUCGGAACCUGAACUAUCGAUCUGUGCAAAGUAGUACAUCCAUAUAUAGAUCAAUGCUAUGGAUUCUUCUCAACCUAUAGACCUCAAAUUUCGAAGUUGGAACAUUGUCAAGACAAGCAGAGAAUCCGUUUCUCUACGAAAGAGGCGGUUGUCACUGCUAAUCCAGGGACAAUAAUUUGAACACCAUGAAAAAAAAUAAUUAAGUUUUUGGUUGCAGAUAUGAUCCCUUGAACUUGAAUUAAUUGGAUCACUCUUUUUUCCUCGCAUGGAGUAAAGGUGGGCUUAAAAGAGAUCAAGUGUUAAUAAGGACCUUGAAAUGGAGUAUGUAUUAAGAUUCAUCAAUGGUGGUACAAAAUGUUAGUUGUGAAAAUGCCUACUUUUCUCUUGAAGAUCUUUUACCCAAGUAGCCAGAAUCAGUGACCAAAGCUCUCGAUAACGACUUGGACAUCGACCUGUACACUAUUCUCACCUUUUUCGGCUUUUAGGGAAUUGGUUGCUGAAUUUUAUUUCAAUAAUUUGUGAAAUUUUGUUUUGCUUUUUGUUGCACAGCUUUUAAACGUUGAUAUACAAUGUAAAAACAUCAAAUUUAUUCUGAAUGCAUCUUAGGAUUGUAGCUUUACUUAGCAGGUAUAUUUUAAAUUUUCUAUACUGAAAUUCCUCUCUAUAUUCUUACUUUCAGUAUUCAAAGAUGAAGUAAACUCUUAAACGAUAUAUUUUUACUCUAUUCUUUUUGUGUUUAUAUGUUCCUCUGGUUUUAUUUAGAAUCAUGAAACUUGAUUACAGUAAGAAGCAUAAUAGUAAUGGUUGGUUUUUGUUAUUUUUAAAAUUUUGAAAGGUUAGCAAAACCACUGAUGCAAAGAAGAAGGCUGCAAACAAUUUCUGAUUAAAUUGUAUCAUUAAAAUAUUUCAUAUGUGAAAAUUUGCUUAACAUUGUGAACACAAAUAGCAUUAAUCUUCUGUCACACAAACCCCUUAUACUUUUUUAACAUAAUUUUUUACGCAAUUUUUAAUCCCGCACCAAUGCAUGGGCAAAACUUUCUAGUAUCUAUCUAAAGGCAAUAGAAGUUACUGUUUAUUCAACAAUAUUUUAACGAUUAUUAGACAAUUAUAAAAACGUUCUACCUAACUAAACAUUUUUGAAGAUUAGACAUUUAUUAGGGCAUCCGCAAAUAUUAAAGUAGGUAUUAGCUCUCACGUUAUUUAUGGAGUUUUGAAUAUCUAAAUCGAUUCUUUUUAGUGAAGCAGAUUUAAGGUGCAAGUUGGCUAAAAAACAGGGUCGGUCCUAAGAAUUUGGGGGUCCUGUGUGAGACUCCAACAAAGGCUCUUCUAAAAUUUUGGUUGAUAUAUUUUCUUUUACAUUUUAUUUUUUAUAAUUGUGUAUAACUUGAAUAAUGUGAAGAAAGAAAAAAAAAAUUCUUGAUGUGGUGGCUAGAUAUCUAUUUGCAUCUUUUAUG